CCUGGAGUGGUGCAAGCUGGAGGUCGGUUUGCUCCUGAGCUUUGACUUACGAGGUCCCCAAACACAAACAGCCAACCCAUUCUUAUUUCCCCCAGUUUCGCCACUAGCCAGUCCGAUCAACCUCCCGCAAGGUUGGGGACGCGGUGCCCUGCCAACCUGCCGGCGGCGCGCCCGAUCCUCCGCUGCUCCGACUUCCAGUCUCAGCCCACGUCCCUACACCAAGACCCGGCCCCGAGCUUCCAGUGGCGCGUCCCUGGCCAGGAACUACAGCACGGCACCUCGCAGCCCCCAUCGUCGGCAGGAGCACCACUAACGUUGUCUCCUCACUGGAGCUGCAGAUGUAUAUUAUGUGCAUCAGUUGUAUGCGGGAUUGCAGGUUAUUGAGUGGGAGGAACUGAAUGGGCACUACGGUGCAGAUGCAUUUGUCAUCUGACACAUUGUUGGUGAUGCCAUACCAAUUUACGUAUAUGGCAUUUCAUGGUGCCCCCUUCACCUUGGUAUCUCUUUCUCGCACUACACUUCCUCAUGUUGAGUUUGGCAUGCUUUUUCUUCCCAUUUAUUAAUUUAUGGUGCUUACAUGUGACCAGUAAAUAUCAAAAAUGAAUAUUGUUGUUCUCUUUAUCGAUAGGAUUAAAGAAGAUUUCUUGAUUAGAGGAAAGGUAAAAAAGAGGUUGUUGCUUCUCUUUGGUAAAUGGUUGAGCCUGUUUGUAGGAUUAGUACUGCCGGCGGUCACCGCCUGCUCGCAAACCCUAGCUAGGGUUUGCUUUUUUUUUAGUUUAAAGUCCAUAUAGGGCUUUCUUUUGUGUAAAAUUUGCCCAAAAUAGGGCUAAGUUUA